rnacentral:rRNA from 1 species
GACUAAGGUUUCCUGGGGAAGGCUCGUCCGCCCAGGGUUAGUCGGGACCUAAGCCGAGGCCGACAGGCGUAGGCGAUGGACAACAGGUUGAUAUUCCUGUACCCGUUGUUUUUGUUUGAGCAAUGGAGGGACGCAGGAGGCUAAGAAGUGCAGACUGAUGGAUAUGUCUGUUCAAGCAGUAAGUCUUGGUAGGAGUCAAAUGCUUCUACCUAUACGGACAAGCUGUGAUGAGGAGGGAAAUAAUAGUACCGAAGCUUCUGAUGUCACACUGCCAAGAAAAGCUUCUAGUGAGAAAACAACGGCCCGUACCGCAAACCGACACAGGUAGUCGAGGAGAGAAUCCUAAGGUGAGCGAGAGAACUCUCGUUAAGGAACUCGGCAAAAUGACCCCGUAACUUCGGGAGAAGGGGUGCUGCUCUAACGAGCAGCCGCAGUGAAUAGGCCCAAGCGACUGUUUAUCAAAAACACAGGUCUCUGCAAAAUCGAAAGAUGACGUAUAGGGGCUGACGCCUGCCCGGUGCUGGAAGGUUAAGAGGAGUGCUUAGCGUAAGCGAAGGUA